rnacentral:rRNA from 1 species
UACGAAGGGGGCUAGCGUUGCUCGGAAUCACUGGGCGUAAAGCGCACGUAGGCGGAUUGUUAAGUCAGGGGUGAAAUCCUGGAGCUCAACUCCAGAACUGCCUUUGAUACUGGCGACCUAGAGUCCGGGAGAGGUGAGUGGAACUGCGAGUGUAGAGGUGAAAUUCGUAGAUAUUCGCAAGAACACCAGUGGCGAAGGCGGCUCACUGGCCCGGUACUGACGCUGAGGUGCGAAAGCGUGGGGAGCAAACAGG